rnacentral:rRNA from 1 species
AGCAGCCGCGGUAAUUCCAGCUCCAAUAGCGUAUAUUAAAGUUGUUGCAGUUAAAAAGCUCGUAGUUGAAUUUCGGGAUCAAUUUGCUGGUCGUGCCUCUGGUACGUACUGGUAUUAUUGGUUUCUCCCUUCUGACGAACCAUGAUGUCAUUAAUUUGAUGUCGUGGAGAAUCAGGACUGUUACUUUGAAAAAUUAGAGUGUUUAAAGCAGGCAUUAGCUUGAAUACAUUAGCAUGGAAUAAUGAAAUAGGACGUUUGAUCCUAUUUUGUUGGUUUCUAGGAUUGACGUAAUGAUUAAUAGGGAUAGUUGGGGGCAUUAGUAUUCAAUUGUCAGAGGUGAAAUUCUUGGAUUUAUUGAAGACUAACUACUGCGAAAGCAUUUGCCAAGGAUGUUUUCAUUAAUCAAGAACGAAAGUUAGGGGAUCGAAGACGAUCAGAUACCGUCGUAGUCUUAACCAUAAACUAUAGCCGACUAGGGAUCGGAUGAUGUAAUUUUUAAUGACUCAUUC